GAGUCUUCAUAGGUACUCCAAGGCCACACAGGGACAGAUGUGACGCUUCCCCAGGCUUGUGCCUGGAAAAGAACCAGGGAGAGGCCCAGAUAGCAGGCCAUGACUGCUCUCUUGUAUCCUCGUGCCUGCUAGGUGCACGAUGAGACCAUGGCUAUCUUCUAAGGGUCUUGUACCUAGUAGGUGCACAACAACUUUUGAAUGAAUACAUGACGGAUAGCAACAAGAAAUAAAAAAUAGCAAAUGCA
rnacentral:lncRNA from 1 species